rnacentral:rRNA from 1 species
GGCGNUCAGGAAAGUCUGGAGUAAAAGGCUAUGGNUCAACCAUAGUGUGCUCUGGAAACUGUNUGACUUGAGUGCAGAAGGGGAGAGUGGAAUUCCAUGUGUAGCGGUGAAAUGCGUAGAUAUAUGGAGGAACACCAGUGGCGAAAGCGGCUCUCUGGUCUGUCACUGACGCUGAGGCUCGAAAGCGUGGGUAGCGAACAGGAUUAGAUACCCUGGUAGUCCACGCCGUAAACGAUGAGUGCUAGGUGUUAGGCCCUUUCCGGGGCUUAGUGCCGGAGCUAACGCAAUAAGCACUCCGCCUGGGGAGUACGACCGCAAGGUUGAAACUCAAAGGAAUUGACGGGGGCCCGCACAAGCGGUGGAGCAUGUGGUUUAAUUCGAAGCAACGCGAAGAACCUUACCAGGUCUUGACAUCCCGAUGCUAUUCUUAGAGAUAGGAAGUUACUUCGGUACAUCGGAGACAGGUGGUGCAUGGUUGUCGUCAGCUCGUGUCGUGAGAUGUUGGGUUAAGUCCCGCAACGAGCGCAACCCUUAUUGUUAGUUGCCAUCAUUAAGUUGGGCACUCUAGCGAGACUGCCGGUAAUAAACCGGAGGAAGGUGGGGAUGACGUCAAAUCAUCAUGCCCCUUAUGACCUGGGCUACACACGUGCUACAAUGGUCGGUACAACGAGUUGCGAGCCGAUGACGGCAAGCUAAUCUCUGAAAGCCGAUCUCAGUUCGGAUUGGAGGCUGCAACUCGCCUCCAUGAAGUCGGAAUCGCUAGUAAUCGCGGAUCAGCACGCCGCGGUGAAUACGUUCCCGGGCCUUGUACACACCGCCCGUCACACCACGAGAGUUUGUAACACCCGAAGUCGGUGAGGUAACCUUUUAGGGGCCAG